rnacentral:lncRNA from 1 species
GAACGGGGAUUAUGAUGAGAACGAGAGUUGGGAACGCAGUCAACCCAACUGUAAACAGGAGGGAGGACUGGGAUAGGUGUGGACAGGUGUCCACAUCCAGUUGGUGAGCCUCAUUAAUUCUACUGGUGCUGCUUAACACCACUUGACACGAAAUUCUCCAAAGAUGAACCAAAAUGGUUGUGAUUGUCAUUUCUUAAAUCAUCACCUUUUACCAUAGACAACAACCAAAUAAUUACAUACACGAUGGAAUAAGGAUUGAAAGAUAAAUUGUUAAUCUAAAUGAACAAAUUCAAACAUUUGAUAUAUCAUAUCAAUCAACAAAACAUUUCUAUUAGUAAGAAUUUAAUAUUUUUAUUUUUAUUUUUUAUAUGUAAGUAGGUGUCAAAGAAAAAACUCAAAGGACGUAAAUAAACAAGCAAGAUGUAGAUCAAAGAGAGAUGACAAAAAUAAAGAGAAAAUUACGUAUUUUCAAAUAGAAUCAAAAAUAGCUAUUGCCAAAUCAAAAAGACUAGAGAAUCUUGAAAUUAGACUAGAAGCAAGAGAGGCAUUAAUAAGAGUGAAGAAGGCCACACUU